UAGCUUGCUACCUGACCUAGCGGCGGACGGGUGAGUAAUGCUUAGGAAUCUGCCUAUUAGUGGGGGACAACAUUCCGAAAGGAAUGCUAAUACCGCAUACGCCCUACGGGGGAAAGCAGGGGAUCUUCGGACCUUGCGCUAAUAGAUGAGCCUAAGUCAGAUUAGCUAGUUGGUGGGGUAAAGGCCUACCAAGGCGACGAUCUGUAGCGGGUCUGAGAGGAUGAUCCGCCACACUGGGACUGAGACACGGCCCAGACUCCUACGGGAGGCAGCAGUGGGGAAUAUUGGACAAUGGGCGAAAGCCUGAUCCAGCCAUGCCGCGUGUGUGAAGAAGGCCUUUUGGUUGUAAAGCACUUUAAGCGAGGAGGAGGCUACUUGGAUUAAUACUCUAGGAUAGUGGACGUUACUCGCAGAAUAAGCACCGGCUAACUCUGUGCCAGCAGCCGCGGUAAUACAGAGGGUGCGAGCGUUAAUCGGAUUUACUGGGCGUAAAGCGUGCGUAGGCGGCUUUUUAAGUCGGAUGUGAAAUCCCCGAGCUUAACUUGGGAAUUGCAUUCGAUACUGGGAAGCUAGAGUAUGGGAGAGGAUGGUAGAAUUCCAGGUGUAGCGGUGAAAUGCGUAGAGAUCUGGAGGAAUACCGAUGGCGAAGGCAGCCAUCUGGCCUAAUACUGACGCUGAGGUACGAAAGCAUGGGGAGCAAACAGGAUUAGAUACCCUGGUAGUCCAUGCCGUAAACGAUGUCUACUAGCCGUUGGGGCCUUUGAGGCUUUAGUGGCGCAGCUAACGCGAUAAGUAGACCGCCUGGGGAGUACGGUCGCAAGACUAAAACUCAAAUGAAUUGACGGGGGCCCGCACAAGCGGUGGAGCAUGUGGUUUAAUUCGAUGCAACGCGAAGAACCUUACCUGGUCUCGACAUAGUAAGAACUUUCCAGAGAUGGAUUGGUGCCUUCGGGAACUUACAUACAGGUGCUGCAUGGCUGUCGUCAGCUCGUGUCGUGAAAUGUUGGGUUAAGUCCCGCAACGAGCGCAACCCUUUUCCUUAUUUGCCAGCGGGUUAAGCCGGGAACUUUAAGGAUACUGCCAGUGACAAACUGGAGGAAGGCGGGGACGACGUCAAGUCAUCAUGGCCCUUACGACCAGGGCUACACACGUGCUACAAUGGUCGGUACAAAGGGUUGCUACCUAGCGAUAGGAUGCUAAUCUCAAAAAGCCGAUCGUAGUCCGGAUUGGAGUCUGCAACUCGACUCCAUGAAGUCGG
rnacentral:rRNA from 1 species